ensembl:lncRNA
UUUGCAGAGAGCCACAUCAAGUCAAUUUACAGAAAUACUCAUAAUAAACAUUGAUAAAAGAUACAACUAUCAUGCAUGGAAUUAUAGAUACACUUCUCCUUAAUGCAACCGCUGCGUCAGAUUUCAAAAAAACUUUACGGAAAAAGCACACCAUGCAAUAAUCUGAGUACGGCGCUCAGAGACCAAAACAACCCAAACAGAUAUCCGCCAUGUUGGAGUCAACAGAAGUCAGAAAUAGCAUUAUAAAUAUUCACCUACAUUUGAUGAUCUUCAUCAGAAUGCACUCCCAGGAAUCCCAGUUCCACAAUAAAUGUUUGUUUAGUUCGAUAAUGUCCAUAAUUUAUGUCCAAAUAUUUCCUUUUGUUAGCGCGUUCAGUUCACAAAUCCAAAUUCAUGAUGCACGUUCAUUAGGAGCAGACGAAAAGUCAAAAAGAUCCGUUACAAUCCGUAGAAACAUGUCAAACAAUGUAUAGAAUCAAUCUUUAGGAUGUUUUUAACAUAAAUCUUCAAUAAUGUUCCAACCGGAGAAUUCAUUUGUCUGUAGAAAUGCAAUGGAACAGAGCUCGCUCUCACGUGAACGAGCGAGGUCAGCUCAUGGCACUCUGCCAGAGCCCUGACUCAUUCCCCUCUCAUUCGCCCCCACUUCACAGUAGAAGCAUCAAACAAGGUUCUAAAGACUGUUGACAUCUAGUGGAAGCCUUAGAAAGUGCAAUAUGACCAAUAUCCCACUGUGUAUUUGAUAGGCAAAGAGUUGAAAACCUACAAACCUCAGAUUUCCCACUUCCUGGUUGGAUUUUUUCUCAGAUUCUUGCCUGCCAUAUGAGUUCUGUUAUACUCACAGACAUCAUUCAAACAGUUUUAGAAACUUCAGAGUGUUUUCUAUCCAAAUAUACUGAUAAUAUGCAUAUCUUAGCUUCUGGGACUGUGUAGCAGGUAGUUUACUCUGGGCACCUUAUUAAUCCAAACUACUCAAUACUGCCCCCAGCCAUAAGAAGUUAAGUUAAAAUUUAAUACAAAAAUCCAACAAAUCAAAUCUUAUUCGUUACAUGCUUCAUAAACAACAGAUGUGGACUAACAGUGAAACGCUUACUUACGGGCCCUUCCCAACAAUGAAGAGAGAAAGAAAAUAUAGAAACAAUAGAAAAGUAAAACAGGUAAUUAAAGUUAAAAAAAUAGAUACACAAUGAGUAACGAUAACUUGGCUGUAUACAAGGGGUGUCAAUACCGAAUUGAUAUGUAGGGGUACGAGGUAAUUGAGGUAUAUAUGUACAUAACUAGGAAUAUAGUGUCAGAUAGUAAACAGUAGCAGCAGCGUAUGUGAAAAGUCACAUAUAUUUAAAAAAAGGUUGAAUGUAAAUAACUAAAUAAUUAACCAAAUAGCUACUCGGACUAAUUAUUUAGCAGUCUUAUGGCUUGGGGGUAGAAGCUGUUCAUGGCCGACCCCAGUGAUGUACUGGGCCAUACACACUACACUCUGUAGCGCUUUGCGGUCGAAUGCCAAGCAGUUACCAUACCAAGCAGUGAUGCAGCCAAUCAAGAUGCUCUCAAUGGUGAAGUUGUAGAACUUUGAGUGUCUGGGGGCCCAUGCCAAAUCUUUUCAGCCUCCUGCGGUGGAAAGGCAUUGUCGUGCAAUCUUCAAAACUGUGUUGGUGUGUUUAGAACAUGAUAGAUCCUUAGUAAUGUGGACACCGAAGAACUUGAAGCUCUCAUCCCGCUCCACUACAGCCCUGUCGAUGCUCGGCCCUCCGUUUCCUGCAGUCCACGAUCAGCUCCUUUAUCUUGCUGAUGUUGAGGGAGAGGUUGUUGUUCUGGCACCACACUGCCAGGUCUCUGACCCCCUCCUUAUAGGCUGUCUCAUCAUCUCCGGUGAUCAGGCCUACCACCGUUGUGUCGUAGGCAAACAAUGAUGGUGUUGGAGUCAUGCAGCUGUGGGUGAAUAGGGAAUACAGAAGGGGACUAAGCACUCACCCCUGAGGGGCCCCGUGUUGAGGGUCAGCAUGACAGAUGUGUUGUUGCCUACCCUCACCACCUGGGGGCAUCCCGUCAGAAAGUCGAGGAUCCGGUUGCAGAGGGAGGUGUUCAGUCCUAGGGUCCUUAGCUUAGUGAUGAGCCUUGGAGGGAACUAUGGUGUUGAACGCUGAGCUGUAUUCAAUAAAUAGCAUUCUCACACAGGUGUUCCUUUUGUCCAAGUGAGAAAUGGCAGUGUGGAGUGCAAUAGAGAUUGCGUUAUCUGUGGAUCUGUUUGGGAGGUAUGCAAAUUGGUGUGGGUCCAGGGUGUCUGGAAUGAUGGUGUUGAUGUGAGCAAUGACCAGUCUUUCAAAGCAUUUCAUGGCUACAGAUGUGAGUGCUACUGGGCGAAAUUCAUUUUGUCAUGUUACCUUGGUGUUAUUGGCCACAGGGAUAUCCAGAGAACAUUAACAGUAUUUUGCAGCUCGGUUGUGGUAGUAAGAGUCCACUGACACAGUAGGAUGUGGUCAGUGGCUGAAAGUAUGACAUAUGACAGUUUCACAUCUAGAUGUGUGCACAAGGUUUUCACACACACCUCCAUACACAUUUCAGUUCUAUUUCAGCAGCUCUUCAAUCAUCUGCACCAGAAAAAAACAUCCACAAUAGCAACAUAUGACCCAGUGGAUUGCAUCUGUGCCAAUGAAUAAUAAUCUAACAAACGUUUUGUUAGCAUUAUAAAUUUAACUUUGUGUUAGAAUUAUAGAAUUGUAUCAGUACUGAGUGCUGACUGUGUGAAAGGCUGAGCAAAUAGUUUCACAGUCCAGAAAAUCGAAGGACAUUGGAAAAGCGCAACAGUAAAUUGACACUCAUAAUGCUAUGUGCAUUAAGCUUUAAGACACAAUUACUAAUAGGAUUAGAACCAUUUUCUUUGUUGUCCCAAGUUGAUGUUAUUCAGCGUCACCAAUGUGAAGGUGUAUGUGGAGAUAAGUUUGUCCAACUAAAGUGGGAUUUAAUAUUUUUAAAUACAGUAGUAACUUUAUUUUAUCUUGUACAUUCUCUGUAACCAUUUCUACCUCAUUUUGAAGACGUUGUACAUGGAAAUAUUUAUUUCCUGUUGUUUCACAUGUCUGUUUUGGAAUAAUGAUGAUGAUGCUUGAACUGUUAUAGUCUCCCUUACAAAAGGCUGUAUUUAAAAAUAAAGUGUUUCAUG